rnacentral:rRNA from 1 species
UACGGAGGGUGCAAGCGUUGUUCGGAAUCACUGGGCGUAAAGCGCGUGUAGGCGGCCUCCUCAGUCUGGUGUGAAAGCCCGGGGCUCAACCCCGGAAGUGCAUUGGAUACUGGGAGGCUGGAGUACCGGAGAGGAGGGUGGAAUUCCUGGUGUAGCGGUGAAAUGCGUAGAUAUCAGGAGGAACACCGGUGGCGAAGGCGGCCCUCUGGACGGAUAAUGACUAUGAGACGCGAAAGCGUGGGGAGCAAACAGG